AGAGAGAAAAAAGAGAAAGAGAGGAGUAGAGAGAGGAGAGAGGUGGGAGAGAGGAAGGGAAGGAGGAUGAAGGAGUGAGAAAAAAGGGAAGGAGAGUGCAUUAGUCUGUUUUCAUGCUGCUACAAGGACAUACGUGAGACUAGGUAAUUUAUAAAGAAAAGAGAUUUAACAGACUCACAGUUCCACAUGGCUGGGGAGGCCUCAUGAUCAUGGCGGAAGGUGAAGGAGGAGCAAAGGCACGUCUUACACGGUGGCAAGCAAGAGGAACUGGCCUUUAUAAAACCAUCAGAUCUCGAGAGACUUAUUCACCAUGAUGAGAACAGUAUGAGGAAAACUUCUCCCCAUGAUUCACUUACCUCUCACUGGGUCCUUCCCAUGCCACUUGGGGAUUAUGGGGGUUAUAAUUCAAGAUAAGAUUUGGGUAGGGACACAGCCAAACCAUAUCAAAGACAAAGGGAGCAACUCAGAGGAAAUAAGAGAAGGGAGAAAGGGGGAGAGACAGAGAUAGAGAGAUAGAUAGAGAGAGAGAGAGAGACUGUCAGACUGCCAGGCUGUGCUGCUCUGGCUGGGGCCCUCACCCCUCUGUGCUGCCCUUCUCUUCUGUGUGAUGGGGUGUUCUGUGCUGCCCUUCCCUUCUGUGUGAUGCCAGCACCACCCUCCCAGGGCUACUGGGGAGCUCCCAGCAGGGAUGCCUGGCAUGCGCAUAAGAACUCCCCGCCUGUUAGCUGCACUGAUUCUAAGGAAUCUGGACUUUUUCCUAGGGUAGAAUCUUGAAGGUGUUUUGGAAAGAGGAGAUGGCGAUGUGGGAAGUGGGCUCAAGGGGUCUGAGGGAGGAGGCAUGGAGACCCCUUGGAGUCUGCCACUGGACCCAGCACAGAAGAAGCUCAUCAGCACUGCCCCAUCCACCUGUGGCCUGGCCUUCCUCAUCCGUCAUCCUGUUUGCAUUUCUUGCCUGGACCUUCCUAUCUCUGCCCACAGCUCCCUCACAGGGUGUCAGGACAGACCAGCUCUCCACCGUCAUGAAGCCCAAACUCCAGUGCACAAGCCCAGACUCCCGCAGUGAAGGCAAGAGAGGAAUCGGACAGGACUGAAGCUUGUUCCCACCCCAGGGCCUUUGCACGUGCUCUUUCUUCUGCUUGGAUUGCUCUGCCCCACAUCUGUGCACGGCUCUCUCCCUGUCGAUUCAGCCUGGCCUUUGCUGACGUUGAUCUCCAAUUACAUCACGGGACCGGACGCUCUUCAUAGCAGUCAGUGGCAUCUGAAAUCAUCUCACUCUCUUCUUUGUUUUUGAGUUUAUGAUCUGUCUCCAUGACUAAAAUAUGAACAUUCUGAGAGCAGAGACUUCAUCCGUUCUGUCGACUGCUGUAACCCCGGUUCCUAGUACAACACCAGCACACACUCAGGUGCUCAAUAAGCCAGUGAUUGACCAAUGACCAAGAUCGUCUAGAGUUCAAAGGUGACAUUUCCUCUCUAGCCACCUGCCUGGCUGUCUGACAGUCUCAGGCUGGGACCCCACCCCUGCUGUUGUCACUGAGCCAAGGACACUUAGGGUCCAAUCCUUGGAGCAUUGAGACUCACGUUUCUUCUUGCAAUAUCUAAAGCAUGAACUUCGGGCUAUGUGCCAGGUGGUCCACUAGGCCUGGGGGAAAAAUGGUGCACAACAAUAAGAUUCUGCCUUCAGGUAGCUUAAAACACAGAGCAUGAGAGGAGAG
rnacentral:lncRNA from 13 species